GGGUCUGUAGUGCAAUGGUAACACACUGGAGCUGCUGAGUUCAAGUCCGGCCUGAUCUAGAGGUCUUGGGUUCAAACCCCCUCUUGUGCU